UUUUAUGGAGAGUUUGAUCCUGGCUCAGGAUGAACGCUGGCGGCGUGCCUAAUACAUGCAAGUCGAGCGAACGGACGAGAAGCUUGCUUCUCUGAUGUUAGCGGCGGACGGGUGAGUAACACGUGGAUAACCUACCUAUAAGACUGGGAUAACUUCGGGAAACCGGAGCUAAUACCGGAUAAUAUUU
rnacentral:rRNA from 2 species